UUCCUGAAUUUCCAUUUUUCAGAUAAGCUCAGACAAGGAAUUUAUUUAAGAGUAAGAGAUUCAUGAUGAAACAAAUACGAUAUCUUAGAUUAUCUUAAGAUUCUCUGCAUGCCCAUAGUUUAGUUUAAUUCAAUCAAAAACAGUUACAAAAAUACCUUUGACAAGCACUGGGCUGAGUAUGGGAUGUUACCAUAGUCUGUUUGUGGGACAUAAAAUUGUAAUUAUAAUCCUGUGUGGUAAGUGCAACACCAGGAACAUGGAUACACAGAUUCACUGGAGUGGCGUCUGGACUCCAGAUUCUAGAGGAGUAAUUCUACACUGAUUAGUAACCGCUGGCUUUAAAGGUGAGAUUUGUUACUUCUAGAAGCUGAUUUCAUCUGGGACGGACAUAAUUGCUCCCAGUGCCAAUGAAACCAAGCUUCCAGGACCAAUCCCACAUUUAA
rnacentral:lncRNA from 1 species